AUGCAAUUUGACACCUGGGAGGAAGGUAUGACAUUCUACAAAAUGUAUGCUCAUGAAGUCGGGUUCUCGGUUCGCACAUGGACAACACACAAAGAUGAACAUGGCAUACUGUGGAAGAGGUUUGUUUGUGCUAGGGAGGGUUGGAGGAAGGUGGCCCGGGAAGAGGAAAGGAUAAAGCCGAAGAGAAAAUUCAAGUUAACUAGGUGUGGUUGUGAGGCUAUGAUUGGAUUGAAGAGGCAAGAUGAUGGCAAAUAUAAGGUCGCCCGGUUUGUUCAAUCACACACCCACCAACUUAUUUCGCCAAGUAAGAGACAUCUCAUCAAGUCAAAUAGAGAAGUAAGUAGUGAGUUGAGAAGCAAAUUACUUACAUGUCAUAAGGCAAUGGUUGGCACAUCUACAGCAUAUCACUUGCUUAGUGUAGAGAAGGGAGGUCCGGAAAAUGUGGGCUGCACAAAGCAUGACUUCCAGAACUCUCAUCGUGAUUUUAAAAGAGCAAUUAAGAGAGCAGAUGGACAGAUCAUAGUAGAUAUAAUGAAAAGGAAGCAGGCUGCCAAUCCAGCAUUCUACUUUGACUACCAAGUCGAUGAGAAUGACAAACUUAUAAAUAUUUUCUGGGCGGAUAGCAUAUGCAGAAAGAACUACUCAUUGUUUGGUGAAGUUGUGUCUUUUGACUCGACAUAUCGCUUUAAUAGGUAUAACUUGGUAUUUGCCCCUUUCACAGGAGUUAACAACCACAGGUCUUGUGUCACGCUUGGUGCAGCUUUUCUAUGGAAUGUGAAGAAAGAAUCUUAUAUAUGGUUGUUCAAGACUUUCUUGAAAGCAAUGUCUGGGGUUGCACCUAAGAUCAUCAUGAACGACGAAGACCAAAGCAUGAGAAUAGGGAUAGAACAAGUUUUUCCAAACACUAAACAUAGGCUUUGUAUGUGGCACAUCCUCAUGAAGCUUACUGAAAAAGUUGGUGCCACCAUGAAAAAUAAUCCAGAUUUUCAUGAACGGUUUAUGGCAUGUAUUUGGGGAUCAGAGACACCAAGUGAGUUUGAGUCACAAUGGUGUUCAAUAAUAUCUGACUUUGGGCUAAAAGAUAAUACAUGGUUGCAGGAGAAGUAUGAGGCGCGCAAGUCAUGGAUUCCGGCAUAUUUUACGGAGAUCACCCUUGGCGGAAUCUUGCGUACUACAUCAAGAUCUGAGAGUUUGAAACAGCUUUAG
rnacentral:rRNA from 1 species